GACGAACGCUGGCGGCGUGCUUAACACAUGCAAGUCGAACGGUGAAGGGGUCUGCUUUUGUGGGCCCUGGAUGAGUGGCGAACGGGUGAGUAACACGUGAGUAACCUGCCCCCUUCUUCUGGAUAACCGCAUGAAAGUGUGGCUAAUACGGGAUAUUCUGGGUCUGUCGCAUGAUGGGUCUGGGAAAGAUUGCGCCUUUGGGUGUUUUUGGUGGGGGAUGGGCUCGCGGCCUAUCAGCUUGUUGGUGGGGUGAUGGCCUACCAAGGCGGUGACGGGUAGCCGGCCUGAGAGGGUGGACGGUCACACUAGGACUGAGACACGGCCCAGACUCCUACGGGAGGCAGCAGUGGGGAAUAUUGCACAAUGGGCGCAAGCCUGAUGCAGCGACGCCGCGUGAGGGAUGGAGGCCUUCGGGUUGUAAACCUCUUUCGCCAGUGAAGCAGGCCUGCUCCUUGUGGGUGGGUUGACGGUAGCUGGAGAAGAAGCGCCGGCUAACUACGUG
rnacentral:rRNA from 1 species